rnacentral:lncRNA from 1 species
AGCGGAGAAGACCUGAGCCCUGCCCCAACCCCGGUGAACCACACCAGCACAACACAAGGGGCUGUGGCCCUGGGUCUGGACCACUGGGGGCUGCGGAAGCGGUUCCUUCUCCCCUAAAGCAGCGUUCACCUGGAGGUAGGCAGGCGGCCCCUGGUGAGGAACAACACAGGAUGGUCUUACAAGAAACCUUCAGGCGCGCAAAACACUUAACAUGUAAGAAAACCAGCUCCCGCUGCACCGGGUGGGGUCCAGGGCCACCUUCCCUGAACGCCCGGGUUCUAGGAACUGCUGAGGCAGCAGGCCAAGGGUCGGGGGCUGGGCCUUGGGGAGAGAGCGCAAGAAAGGUGACCUGGGUGGCCUCCGUCGCCCGCCAGCAGCCACGGCCCCCGUCGGCGCGCAUCAGGCCCCGCGCCCUGGCGGGGCAGUCGGCCGCUCCCGGGGCUCCCCCCUCGCAGGCUUCGGGCUCGGCUCGGACCCGGCGCGCGGCUGGGAGGGCACCGGCGGCCGCGCUCAAACCUGCGCGAAGGUGGCGGGGCUGCGCGCCUCUGCCGCCGGGACCGCAGAAGCCGCGAGCGGGGUGCGCUCCGCCUCAGCCCGCGGCCGGGGUCCCUCCGGGCGACGCGGGCGGCGCACGCGGGACACUGAGGGCGGGCGGGCUCCCGGGGUCGGCGGCAGGAAUCACACGGCGGCGGCGGACCGAGGCCCCGGACACGUGCGGCGGUCCUGCGGGAGCCCGCCCGCCCCGCCAUCUCUGGCUCGCGCUGCCUCUUACCUGCCGGCCGCGGCGGGACGGGCGGGCGGGCGUCGCGGCAGCCGCCGCCUGGCGCGAGCGCGGACGAGCUAGACGCGGUGGGGCGCGGGCGGCGGGCGGCGGCGCGCGUGCGCGGGGGGCGGGACGGCGGGGUGGGGCGACGGACGGCAGCGAGGGCCAUAAAGCCUUGGAGGGCGCACCGCCUUAAAGGAGCCGCAUACGACCCGCGUUUUCUACCGGAAGCGUUAGCUUAAGCUUGGCGGAUGUGGGCCAUUCGCCUGUUCCUUCUAGGGUACGCUGGAGCGUGUUGCUGGGUCCCUUGCGCCGGUACGGCCCGGGCCGGCGCCCCAGGACAGGCGUCCGCUCCUGGUUCCUCGAGGGCCCACGCCUGACCCCUGCAGGCCAGCGCUCCUGGGCCGCCCCAGCCCGAGGCCAGGUGGCCUCCCUGUCCGCCCGCUCAAACUCGGACUUUAUUCGGGAGAGAAGGCUCGUUCAGAGAGCUGUGCACCCGUGUCCGGGCACGCUGGGAGAGUGGCACCUGUGGAGAAGGGGGCUGCCUGAGGAUAGGAGGGGCGGGGUGGACACGUUCAGUUGCCGAACCCGGCCCUCCAUCACCUAGACUAGCUUUUAAAGCCUCUGGCACCUUGUAACUACCCCUUAGAUGGCGCCAGAUGACUGCGGUCAAAGGGGGAAGGUGACCAGAAUUCCUGCUCCUGGCACCCAGAGGGAUUGUACGUGAAUUCCGGUCCCUUCUGUGAGCCUGCAGGCUGCUCUGCUGUGGGUGAGUGGUGGCACAGCCUUCUCUCCUGGGGUCCUUCUCUGCCUCCCUUUACAAAUGAGGAAGGGGACACCCAGAGAGGAGGCCACGCGGGCGGGAGGAGAGCCUAAGCUGGUCUUCUGCAGCCCCAUGGGUCUUCAAAUCUUAGGGUGGCAUGACCCCACAGCCCCAAGGCUCAACACAGGCCUAGGUAGGGUACUCUACAGCCUUCUGUCUUCCAGUUAAAAGAGCACCAGGCACGCCUGUAAUUCCAGCAGCUGAGGCUGAGGAGGCUGAGGCUGGGAAUCCCAAGUUCAAAGCCAGCCUCAGCAAUUUAGCAAAACUCUGUCUCAAAAUAAAACCUAAAAAGGGCUGGCUCAGUGGUUAAGUGCCCAUGGGUUCUACCUCUGGUACAAAAAAAAAAGUGAGGGCUGGGGUUGUGGCUCAAGUGGUAGAGCACUUGCCUAGCAUGUGCAAGGCACUGGGUUCUAUCCUCAGCACCACACAAAAAUAAAUAAAUAAAGGUACUGUGUCCAAUUACAACUAAAAAACAAGAUUUUUUUUUAAAAAGCAUGCCAAAUGAUACAGGAACUGUUAAAGCUCCAUCCUUGUCCCCAUGCCAAUCCAAUAACAAAGACAUGGUUUUGAGGAAAAGAAGUUUUAUUGUUUUCUAGUAAAGGAGAAGCACAGAGAACUCCUGUCCCAGAAGCUGUGAUUCUGCCCAUCAAGGGGAUCAGGAGGCUUUUAAGGAGAUGAUUCAAAAGCAUGUGUUCUCUGUUGGAGCUGUAAUUCACUUGUUAACUUGGGAGAUAGUCAUUUCUGAGAUCUUCUGGAACCAUCCCCAAAGUCUGAAUUACUUUGUUCCUGUGGUGUGUAUGUGUGUGCUCAAGGACAGGUAACUCUGCCUAGGAUGGAUUGCUAAUCCUGCUUCCCCCUGAGAUUAGGGAGAAGGAGCAAUUAGGGAGUAGCAGGGAGAGAAAGAGAAAGAAUGUGAGGAUGGUCUUGGGCCUGAGCCUAAGCAAUUCCAUUUUAAAAACUCCAGUUUGAAACCUGCAGUCUCACCACACUUGCCUAACAGAGCCCUCUAGUAUGGCUCCCCGGCACAAACAAGUCACUUCUCCCCGCCCUGAUAAACUCAGAGUGAAGCCUCUGGAAAGCUGGCCUCCUCGGAUAGGAGGGAAAGACCUGAGAAAAGGUAAAGGUGAAAAGAUCAGGGUGGGGACCACCAGGCCAGAUGUUUUAACCCCAGGGUAAAUGAUGUCCCUGAGAAAUCCCGUGGUAGCUGAUAAGGAUUGAAGAGGGGUCAAAAGCCCCAAAAUUUAGUAUAAAUAAUAGAGCAAAUGAACAGAUAUUCAGCCAGACGAAACUGAUGCCUACAAGCUGGAGAGCCUGAUGAGGACCUGGACUGACAUCCCAUCACCUGUCAUUCUUUGCUGAUCCCCUGCGUCUUCCUCACCGCUCUCCAACUCUACAGCCAUAUCUUGACCCUGGUGAGAGCAGCAACUUCUCCCUACAGCCCCCUCCUCAGCCAGCCGCCUGCUGCGUCCCAGGAGAAGCCUGCCUUGGUUCCUGACCUGAUCACCUCCGUCUGAGUGAGUGGGCAUCUGUGGACUUAGAGCCUAAGGCUGGAGACUUUAGACCUGGCACUUGAGCUUAAUUUGCAGAGGGAAUGUCUGUCAUUAGCCUGUCAUGAUUAAGUGUGUUUGCAGGCUUAGAAUUAAUUAAUCUAGGAUUGUUUGCUGUGAAUUAAUUAAUCUAGGAUUGUUUGCUGUGAAUUGAUUAUGUCCAUUGCAGUGCCCAGCAUUAAGGAUUGCCGUUUUCUUGAUUAAGAACCUACAGAGUGAAAUUGUAUUGAGCGAGUUGAGUGAAUAAAGCAUUGACUAGGGCAGAAGCGCGUGGAC